AUUUAAGCCUGAUGGGGCUAGGGUGUUUAAAUUAAAAAUCCAUUUGGUUUCAGUCUUUCCUAGUUUUCUAAUUUCGUCCUCUCCUCGCCAAUUUAGCUCUAUCUUUUGGAUAGCAAAAAAUUCUAAACAUCGAGGGUUGCUAUCAUGCCUUUCUUUAAAAUGUGCAGAAACACUAUGUUUGUCAAAACCCUUUUUGAUAUUUCGUAUGUGCUUGUUUAUUCUGACUUGUAAUGGUCUUUUGGUCCUUCCCACAUACAUGAGAUCACAU